CACCUCACAGCUGGAUAAACACAUCCUGUGGGGUGUGAGCAGUUGGCUCGUGGGUCGGGCACAGAGGGUGACAGUGACUGGGGUGACAUCAGACUGUGACCUGUCACUGCUGGGGUUCCACGGGGCUCCAUCUGGGCCCUGUGCUCUCCAACAUCUCCAGCAAUGACUUGGACACAGCACUGGAAGGGACACUGAGCAGGUACUGUAACUCUGCAGCCACUUGUGCGCAUCACGUUUGCCUCGGUGUGAAUGAAAGCAGGAGCUGGCAGCUUGCAGGGAGCCAGAUGUGUCAGUCCUUGCAUAGGCCUUGAUGACUCAAAAUAACCUUUAAUGAACAUCCCAGAGUGGUGGUUUGGCAGCUGGAUCAUCCAGGUGAAGCAGUUGAGAUGUGCCUGCAUCAGACUGCUCUGGUUUGUCCCCA